GCCCCCCGUCUAGUGGACGAUGUAGGACCUCAUAGCAUCAACUUGCGAGCUAACCAGGAACUAAGUUGAGGCGCGGUUGAUCCGCUAUAUUUGGUUGGAUGCUGGUGGUGAGUUGCUGAACCCAACGAAUACAUUCUGAAGUCGGAUGGGGUGAACGGAUUAGGGGUGUCCCUCUCGCAGCGGAGAGCAGGGAACUGCCUCGGGAAAGGGGCCGCUGGUGAAGCUUAACCACCCUGUAACAACAUACAUACAUACAUAUACAUGUACACACACACCAGAUGGACAGACACACAGACAGGCACACAGACAGACACGCACCCUCAGCGCCACCGUGGGGACUCCCCCAGCCAAGAUGUCCUCAAUCAGGUGCUUCUGCUCCAUCUGAGUAAUGCCGUACCCACAGCCCCGGCCACCGCUGCUGUUAUAGAUGAUCAGCCGCACGCCUGCGGAGUCACCGAGUCAGUAUGCGGUGCAGUCACGAGUGUGCGGUGCAGUCACGAGUGUGCGAUGUGGGGGCGAGCAUGCGUG
rnacentral:lncRNA from 1 species